GAACUAUGCAGAGUAAGUCUUGUUUUUUAAACAUUUGCUACUACCAAAUCAUUUAACAUAAUGAUUUCAUUCAAGUUUCUUAUAAAUAUGGAAAUCAACUAACUGAUAAGCUUAGAUUGCAAAUAGUAUAACCAUCAAAUCGAGUUACAUCUUAUUUACUUUGUUUGCAUAGCUAAUUCGUAAUUCGUUUUUUGUCAUGUGGUGUGUUCAUGUAUGUACCUAAGAAGUGACAUGCUGUUAUACAAUUAUAUAAAGGUGAAUCUGUUUUAAUUCUAGUUGUCCAGCUACAGAUGAAGAUGCUUAGUAUGAUGAAUCAUCCUCUGUUGUCAUGGACGAACCUGGCGAUGUGUUAUGGAGGAGGAAAAAACAAAAAAGACUCAUCUGAUGAGAAACCACUGCAAGAAUCUCAUCCUGUUCACACAAGUCUGUGCAGCAUGCAUGUAUCAGCAUUUUUGGUGACCAGUGACUUCUCUUCUGAGGGACGUGAAUUCCAAAUGUGUGUUUGUUGUGACGUGUGUGAACCAUGUGCAUCAUGCCUCUUGUCACAAUACGUGCCUGCUGCACACGCGUUGAAAAGGUUUAUGAUAAAAGAAGCACUCAUGUUCACAAAAUACUCGCAAGACACUAACUUGACACUAAACUGUAAUUACACAGGAGAUUAAGUGAGUAUCAGGCAAACGUGAGCAUAUCAUUUAUCAUAAACCCUUUACAUGCGUGUGCAGCAGAUUUUGACAUCACGUGUGAUGCACAUAAGUUUACAUGACGCGCUGAACACAUAUUUUGAAAUGACGAGCCACACACAUGACGAGCUCAAUGCAUGUGACCAGCUUCGCAACGUGCGCCCUCGAAAAAGAAGUCACCGGCCGACACUGACCCAGAUCAUCAAGAUGUUAAAGCUGUUCAGAGCAUCUUGUCAGCACCUUCUUCCACCAUGUACACAAUUUCUACCAUCGUGAAGGCGUGGCAGAAUGAGAGAUUUGCAGUCACCACAGGCUCUACGAGAAUGCAGCACUGUCCUGUCUUCCACUACACCUGCUCCCCUCUCCAGAUCCAUCCAGAGGAUCAACAAGGAUGAAGCUGUUGGGAUCUAUUAAUCACAUCAUUCACAAUUUAACACACUUCAACACAUUAUUAUAAUACCCGCACAUAUGAUGGGAAAGAUACUGAAAAAUUGUUAAAUGUUUUUAAAUGGGUCAGAUUGUAUAUCUUUUUUUCGGUGCUACAUAAAUAAAACUAAAUCGAAUUACAAAUGCAGAUCUACUUGGUAUAUAUCUGAUCUAAACUUCAUAAACCAGUUUUUAUACGGUAAGACAAUUUGUGAUUAUUGUUUAUUGAUUGUCACAAAAUGGGGGUAUUCAAACCAUUUAUAAAGUCCUCCUUCCUCUGGAACCUGUCCUUGAAUGGCUGACACAUGCAGGUAAGGGCGCCUGCACAGAGUUCCUUAGACGCCCAGCGGAUAACUUGCCUAUGCUGUAUUUAGUGGUAUUGUCUGGAGAUGGGAAAACUAUUAAUAUUGUUAAUUUGAAUAUUGACUAGUGCCAGCAAAAAUUGUGACUUAGUCAUGACCUAUAGGCAACUUGUAAUUAAAACAAAUUUAUUAAGAUUGUUUUAACAUUCAAAUCUUUAGUUUACUGUUCAUUUAUACAUGGAUAUUAAAUAAAUUAGUAAUAAAUAAUCUCUGCCAUAAACAUACUCAUUUCUACUGGCCUGGCCUGUAGCACAUAUGGGUUCAGACAGCUCACCUCUCCUGCGGUGAUGAGCAACAUCUGUAUCACGUAACGUAAGUGUGGAUGGAUAUUAACAUAACUUAUAAGCAUUAAAAAGAAAUAAAUUAUCAAUACUAUCUUUGCUAUUGCAUGAUAUAUGAUAAUCUGUACAAUCUUGUGAUCUGAGCACAGUAUUACAUCUCGCCAGAUCACUGAUCUCACCCACACAUCUGUCCUUUUCUCCUCACAUAACACUUCAAUUUGUCUCCUCUGACCGUUCUGUUUAAUCCUGACCAGUCCCUGCACUCUUGGCUGCAUAGCAAACUCAUAAUUGUAUGGCUGUAGUUCGCCAUACGAGUAUGAAUAAACAUUUACUCGUUCCUCAGCGUCCGAAGAACUGUCAUUGCGAUCCAGCGUGCGCCUCUCGUGAUGUCACUUCCGGUUUGGCGGUUUUUAGAGGCGGGUCUAAAAUUUUCUUACAAAAAUGACCCCAGAAGCCUAAUUAGUGCAUUUAGAAAAAUAUAUAUUUUUUAAUCUAUUUCCUACAGUAUUUUUCUGUACUUUGAGUGAAUGGGUGGUUUAACUUUCAAGUUGCUCUUUAA